rnacentral:rRNA from 1 species
AUGGUGCUCCUGAAUUUGGGGUUUAGAUAUGUGCAGCAGGUUACUAUUCAGACUGAACCUGUCAACUCCCCAAGUGAUUUUCUUGUUCUCAUAACUUCGAAACUUGUCCAGCUGCUCAAAAGAUCCCAAAUUCAUUGUAGAAUUGGAGGUUGUCGAUCUUCCGAAAGUCAGUCGGCAAAACAAUUUUGUACUUACAACCUGCAUGAAGGUUUCUGUGGCCCUCCUCCGGUCAAAGCACUACUAUGCAAUAAACAUAGCCUUUGCACAGUUCUAGCUGUCAAUUUUGCAAACACCUUGGAUACACUGUGUAUCUAUUGCCGAGAACGUCAGGAGUCCCGUUAUACUAAGUGGCUUCGCACUGAUGCAAGACGAACAACAGCCGGCUUAGAUGAGUCACUUGAGUGGUGUCUUGAAAACAACAUGAGCAAGACUGGACUUGAUGGGCAUUCGAGACUGUCCCUUUUUGAUGGAAAUGUUCUUCAGCUGAAUGAAUCUCAUCUUGUGAAGCAAAAGAUCAGUGAUCUCUGGUUCAGAAUCAACUAUACCAUUUACAAUGUUGAAAUAGAUUUAGUUUGGUACAUCCAAAAUGUUUACAGCUUAUUAAUGCCUCAAGUUCUUGCCUUCUUCACCGGAUCGGAGCUUCUUGGGAUCGAACUCCAAUUGAGAUCAAUUUUUGUUUCGCUGAUCAAUUCUUCCAACGAACAAGGGAAAAGAAAGGCAGGCCCAGCUCGACCCAUCUGGCCCAUGAACGUGCCGGAAAGAAAAAUCAGACAUCUGAUGACUCGGAGUUGUCAGCCCCUGGCCUGUGCCAUUCACCCUCUCACAACAGUUCGAUCAGGUCAAUACCCCCUCCUGCGUCACCUUCGCUCGUUGCCUCUGCUCGGCAUCUGCACAAAUGACCCCAUGCAUCGAUACUGGUCUUCAUCUCUGGAUGUCAGUUCUCCACAAGUAGUAAUAUCUGACGCUGUGUUGAUUCGGCAUGACCCUAAUGCAUGCGUUCUUGUGAUCCAUUGGGCGUCGCGGCUUCAGACGCGUCGGCGGGUUGCUGCAGCGGAUAGCAUGGAUGAAGCGAGCACCCCGAUGGUGACCGUGGGCGGCGACUCGAAAGUCCGGGUCGUAGAAACGGCGGCUCGGACAGCAGAAACGAACCGGAACCGGAGCACAGCAGCAAAGGCGUACUGGCGGGUCGACGGCCGAGGCAAACCGGGCGGCUCAGCAGUAGAUGGGAAGCCGGGUCAGGUGAGGCUUGAUCAGCCGUAA